UCGCUCCCGACGCUGGCCUCGAUUUCUGCCUCUCCCCCAUUCUCUCUCAGUGUCUUCAAGUCGCAAUCCUCCUACUCGCAAGGUAGGGUUUCCGAUUGUGAAUCGCGACAUUGUGCUUCGAUUGGGUCACCGAAGGCUAGGGUUUCCACCACCACAGCCAUCUUCAUCAUCAUCAGCUUCCUCAAAUUCUACAUUGACGCCGCUGUCUUCUCUUUCUCUCUUUGCUUCGAACCCCCAUGGGAGCUCUCCGGGUACUGCAUCAGUUUCUGAAAAUCAGGAUGCGACUUCGCUGUUGUAAGGUCCUGUUGAUGAGUCCAAAAAUCA